GUGUGUGUGUGAGAGAGGGAGACAGACAAGCCUUGUAUGACAGAGAGGGAUAUGUUUCAUUUAAUCUUUGUUUUGUAUUGAUAAUAUGUUUUGUUCCUUGUAUGAUUUCCUGGUAUUUAUUUGUAUUUAUUUAUUUUAUUUAUUUAUUUAUUUUUAUUUCUUUUAUUUAUCUAUUUUUUUUUGGGUGGUGCACAAGACUUUUUCCACCACGGGCUGGCAGGGCUGAGAGUGUGAAAUGUGUGUGUGUGUGUGUGUAUGUGUGUGUGUGUAUGGUGCCAUGUCUGGGCCUCCCUGUGUGUGAGUGCUAGCCUGGUAUAUGGACAGAUUUAUUUUGAAGUUUUUAUAUUUUUCCCUUUACUUUUAAAUUGUUAUCAUCUUGAAAUUAGUUCAGAGAUCAAAAAUAUAUGAUGUCAGAUACAUAGGUACUUAUUUAUUAAUUUAUUUUAAUGUUUAUGUUACUGUUUUAUUAGUUCAGAGAGGGAGAGAGUCUUGCAUUCAUAGUCACCCAAGACGUACCAAUUUCAGACCAAAAUUAAUCUACCAUUCAAUCUUUAUUAGCUAUUAUCUAAUAUAAUACCACUUUUAAACACCAAAUCCAUCAACCAUUUAGUCCACAGCACCUGUAUUCCUAAGUACAUAAUGUUUAGACCUGAAAUUAAUCUGUAGUUCAUAUUGCAGCACCUGUGUCACCUUGUACUGCUCCUCCUCUCCCCGACAACCCGAGGAAGAGGAGCAGCCUGCCUGGAGGUCCUCAUGGCAGUCUUUGGGCACAGAGGAAUGAAGAGAUGUGGAUGAUAAAGGAACACAAGCAGAGGAAUGAUGGAUAUAAAUGAAUUAGAUAAAAGGAAGAGUGGACAAAGGAUGAGGGAACUGAAGACAUCAAGGCACCCAUCUGCUGUGAAGUGGCUGCCGUUCCUACCACUCCAAUGCACCUGGUGAUCGGGUGAGUGUGGCAAUAGUGAACCGGAACUGAUAUAGUGAAGGCCAGAGGAAAGGUGAAGAGAUUGAGAUAACUGGAAGAAGAAGGCAUUGGGGGGGGGAGGAUUGUAAGAUUAAAAGGAAGGAAGAAAAAGAAUAAAGAUGAGAACUAAAGGGAAGAGGAAAUACAAGGAACACAUGAGGAUGAGGAAGAGGAGGGAAAGAAAGAAGAAAUUGAAGAAAGGAACUGAAGAAAAGAAAAUACAAGGAAGAAGUGAGGAGGUUAAGCAAAAAAAAAAGGAUUAUGAGGAUGCAACAAAUAGAUAAUACAAAGAAUGGCAUACAUACAUGCAUCCAUACAUAUGUAGAGUAAGUGUAUGAGGAAGAGGAGAAAGGGAAAGAAAUACCAGAAGGCAACUGAAGAGGAGAAAAUAAGACAUGAAGUGAUGAAAGAAAAUGACUGAAAGGAGGAAAGAUAAGAACAGAACUACAGGAAAACAAAAUGAUAAAUAAAAAAUACUCACCCAUA